rnacentral:rRNA from 1 species
GACGAACGCUGGCGGCGUGCUUAACACAUGCAAGUCGAACGGAAAGGCCCUGCUUUGGUGGGGUGCUCGAGUGGCGAACGGGUGAGUAACACGUGAGUAACCUGCCCUUGACUUUGGGAUAACUUCAGGCAACUGGGGCUAAUACCGGAUAGGAGCUCCUGCUGCAUGGUGGGGGUUGGAAAGUUUCGGCGGUUGGGGAUGGACUCGCGGCUUAUCAGCUUGUUGGUGGGGUAGUGGCUUACCAUGGCUUUGACGGGUAGCCGGCCUGAGAGGGUGACCGGCCACACUGGGACUGGGCUACGGCCCAGACUCCUACGGGACGCAACAGUGGGGAGUAUUGCACAAUGGGCGGAAGCCUGAUGCAGCAACGCCGCGUGGGGGAUGACGGCCUUCGGGUUGUAUAGCGCUUUCGCCUGUGACGAAGCGUGAGUGACGGUAAUGGGUAAAGAAGCACCGGCUAACUACGUG